rnacentral:rRNA from 1 species
GACGAACGCUGGCGGCGUGCUUAACACAUACAAGUCGAACGGUAAGGCCCUUCGGGGUACACGAGUGGCGAACGGGUGAGUAACACGUGGGUGAUCUGCCCUGCACUUCGGGAUAAGCCUGGGAAACUGGGUCUAAUACCGGAUAGGACCACUGCCUGCAUGGGCGGUGGUGGAAAGCUUUUGCGGUGUGGGAUGGGCCCGCGGCCUAUCAGCUUGUUGGUGGGGUGAUGCCCUACCAAGGCGACGACGGGUAGCCGGCCCGGGAGGGUGACCGGCAACACUGGGACUGAGGUACGGCCCAGGCUCCUGCGGGGGGCAGCAGUGGGGAAUAUUGCACAAUGGGCGCAAGCCUGAUGCAGCGACGCCGCGUGAGGGAUGACGGCCUUCGGGUUGUAAACCUCUUUAAGCACCGACGAAGCGCAAGUGACGGUAGGUGCAGAAGAAGGACCGGCCAACUACGUGCCAGCCGCCGCCGUAAGAC